rnacentral:lncRNA from 1 species
UUUAAAACAACAACACAACAACAGCCCUGGUAUAGGAGAGUUAUGUUCUGAAUCAGUUUCUGUGAUAGCAUUUUACAAUACUUUGUUUUUUGUCACUAUUUUUUUCAGAGGGAUUUGAGAGAAUCUGACCAUGAUGACUGCUGAUAUUAUUUCCCCACUGUAGGCUCUGUCUACAUAGAAAAUUGUUUUCCACAGAACUGAAGAAUCAGAAGAUUAUGAUGUUUGGGAAAGAAAUAAAAAGAGGAAGAGGAAAGCAUCAGCAUAACUAAUCAGUGUA